rnacentral:tRNA from 1 species
GGCUCCAUAGUGUAGUUGUUAGUAUGUCUGCUUUACAUGCAGAAGGUCCUGGGUUCGUGCCCCAGGUGGAGCCA